GCCAGGGAGGGCAAACAGAUUUUAUCUCAAGGAUCAUCUGUGUUUGUUCAAUUAAUAGUAGCUACCUGGAACACUGAGUUAAGAAAGAAUCUGAAUCUUUGCCCAGGGAUUCAGGCGCUGUUACUGCAGAGCUUUCCUCCACUCUGGGUGAUGCCAAAGAUACAUUUCACUAAAACAGUAAUUACGCUUCUGGACCUUUGCCUGGUAAAAUGGAAAACAUAUAAAAUAUGUGAUUCCGCAGCUUUUCUAUUUUAACAAGACAACAGUGAUCCUGCAGGCACAUUAUAGUAAUAUAGGUUUACACAUUUACACAUGUGAGUUUGUUUUCUUGGAUUUGACUUCAUAAAAAGUACCACCAGAUCUUCAAAAUAAUCUCUCAUUCUGAGUAAAUUAAAGCAGGCUGCCCAGCUUACUGUGUGUCCAGCUGGCUAAAGGCUUAAACAGGAAAGAGACUCAAGGAGAUUCUGUGGAGUGCCCUUAGGACCAAACCUAUGAUCACAUUUCUCCAGCCUACAAGAGAGUAAAGUUUGAAGUGUUAGAGGAGAAUUUUCUUGAAGAUGGUUGAGGAAUCACCAUUGUGGUGCUAUGAGAUGGUGUUUUCUCUUUUUACCGCAAACCAAACGAGG